rnacentral:rRNA from 1 species
CCUACGGGACGCAGCAGUCGGGAAUAUUGCGCAAUGGAGGAAACUCUGACGCAGUGACGCCGCGUGCAGGAAGAAGGUUUUCGGAUUGUAAACCUCUUUUGUCAGGGAACAAAGGCGGGGACGUGUCCCCGGAUGAGUGUACCUGAAGAAAAAGCAUCGGCUAACUCCGUGCCAGCAGCCGCGGUAAUACGGAGGAUGCGAGCGUUAUCCGGAUUUAUUGGGUUUAAAGGGUGCGCAGGCGGUCUGUUAAGUCAGCGGUCAAAGCCCGGGGCUCAACCCCGGCCCGCCGUUGAAACUGG